rnacentral:rRNA from 1 species
UACGUAGGGUGCAAGCGUUGUCCGGAAUUAUUGGGCGUAAAGAGCUCGUAGGCGGUCUGUCACGUCGGCUGUGAAAUCCCGAGGCUCAACCUCGGGUCUGCAGUCGAUACGGGCAAGCUAGAGUAUUGCAGGGGAGACUGGAAUUCCUGGUGUAGCGGUGAAAUGCGCAGAUAUCAGGAGGAACACCGGUGGCGAAGGCGGGUCUCUGGGCAAUAACUGACGCUGAGGAGCGAAAGCGUGGGGAGCGAACAGG